rnacentral:lncRNA from 1 species
UAUGGGGCAGACCUCUUCCUGGAAUCAGUUCAGCUCUUAGAACCCCCCAUGGGUGGCUGAUGGACAAAGCAAUAAAGCUGACUGCAUCCUGCUCCUUCCCAUGCCGUGGGGCCCUUUGCUGCUGGGGACCUGAAAGUAUUACAAAGCUCCCUGUGGAAGAGGUAGAGUCAGCAAUGGAAGCAGUUUGGGUCUGGACGUGGAAGCUGCCUGCCCACUCGGCACACCCACGUUGGACGAUUAGGUGAGCAGACAACAAACAUUCCCUAUGUUAAGCCACUACGAUGUGGGGUUUAUUUGUUAGGGUAGCUGGCAGAACCCUACAAAUACAAUCCACUUUACACUGUGCGUAGAAAAGUGAGGACGAAGAAGCCAAACAUCCCUAAUGGGCACUCUCUGAAAGCAGACCUGCCUUUCGGUGGCGUCACUGCUUUGUCUCUGAGUGCCUGCAGUGGGCCUUUGGAAGCUGUUGCUUUGAGAUUCGUUCCGCAGUAUGUUUCAAGUUGUUCUGCCUUAAAUUAAAAAAUCAGUAGUUUGAAUGUGGAUGCAAAUUCUUAAUAGCCUUAGCAACUGACGAAAAAUUUCCAGAUGUUUCACAAAGCACUAAAAUAUUGUACAUUGUUUUCUUUUUCAAUGGGAAAUUAUUCACAGCGCCAUAAAAAGUUGUUUUUUCAGUAAACAGAUUAUGUUUCAGUCUGCGGUGUGAACACUUAAAUGGAACGAUGCAAUAUGCCACUUUUUAAAAGAGGGUUUUAAACAUGUCAGUACAAACCUUUCAGGCCUCUGUCCCAUAAAUUCAACUUUUUAAAAUGAAAUCAACCUGAGCCCUGUGAAAGCUCUAGUACUACUAUGUCAAAACCAGUGAAAUUUGGCUGUUUAUUGCCACCUAUGGAAUGUGGCAAAGAAACAUUCUUUUCACAUGGGACAAUUUCUUCAACUUUACACCAAGUGAAAUUUAAUUGCUUUCACUUCCUGGAAUCAUUAGGCGUUAGUCCUGCAGGAGAGGGAACCCAGAGGAGAUGCUGAAAAAUAAGUCUGUGCUUAAUAUAUUUCUCCUUGGAAUUGUAUUCUCUUUCCCUUUACUGCUGUGAUGCAGCAAAUUUCAGCCUGGGCAGCCGCUUUACAAACAGGAGGGAAAUUUUAGAGGAAGAAGAAAUAACAGUAUCCUAUUGGAAAAGAACACAUCAGAGGUAAAUUGUCCUUGAAAGCCAUGACUAGUCAUGCCUUGAUCAUUACUAUUGAACUACU